rnacentral:rRNA from 1 species
GAUGAACGCUGGCGGCGUGCCUAAUACAUGCAAGUCGAGCGAACAGAUAAGGAGCUUGCUCCUUUGACGUUAGCGGCGGACGGGUGAGUAACACGUGGGUAACCUACCUAUAAGACUGGGAUAACUUCGGGAAACCGGAGCUAAUACCGGAUAAUAUUUCGAACCGCAUGGUUCGAUAGUGAAAGAUGGUUCUGCUAUCACUUAUAGAUGGACCCGCGCCGUAUUAGCUAGUUGGUAAGGUAACGGCUUACCAAGGCGACGAUACGUAGCCGACCUGAGAGGGUGAUCGGCCACACUGGAACUGAGACACGGUCCAGACUCCUACGGGAGGCAGCAGUAGGGAGUCUUCCGCAAUGGGCGAAAGCCUGACGGAGCAACGCCGCGUGAGUGAUGAAGGUCUUCGGAUCGUAAAACUCUGUUAUUAGGGAAGAACAUACGUGUAAGUAACUGUGCACGUCUUGACGGUACCUAAUCAGAAAGCCACGGCUAACUACGUG